AUUGCUUCUCGGCCUUUUGGCUAAGAUCAAGUGUAGAGUCUUACUUCUUACCUAAAAUUUGUGCAGCUUCUGAGGAUACACACAUGUAGAUUUCAGGAAAUCUAGUUUAUACUUAUUCAUUUAGACAAGAAAUCAGAGGCCCAAAAUGUAGUAAUGUUUAUUUUGGGUUUAAACCAC
rnacentral:snRNA from 1 species